GGUCAAUUUUGCUUUUAAAAAUCAUUUUCAUUAUAAAAAUGAUUUGUCAUUCAUAGUAUCAAAAGCUGAGUCAUCUUCACGUACAGUUAUUAAUAACACAAUAAUUACACUUAUAUCUAAAUAAGGAUAAAAUGAACUGCAGUAGCAUUAUUGUUCCAGUCUACAUUAGGUAGCAGCAUUGACCAGUAUCAGACGCUGUCAGCUAUACUCUUGUUUGUUAAUGCCUACCCUCCAGAGUAAUCCUUUGAUCUUUAUCAAUCUCUCAAGCUCUCCUUAUAUUGUGCUAGUCUCAGCUGUAUAAUGUACACACAGCUGCUGUCUCCCUGGGUGGACACUUAAGGAACAAGUGCUGUGAACAUCAAAGAGACCGCUCUGUCACAGAAUGUGGUGUUAUAUGUAAUAUCAACAAGUAACAGUCUCUUUCAGUGUAUAUAAUAAUAAUAGUUGCGUCAUUGUGGUUAACUUAUAAAGAAAAGGUCCACUGCUAGUGGGGGCCCCCUUAAGUAUAA